rnacentral:lncRNA from 1 species
AACAUACCCAACAAGGGAAAUGACCACAUAUCUCCAGCUUGCUGUGUUCUUCUUGGAUCAUAGUUCGUUUCUUAGUUGCCUAGCAUAUUCGACUAUUAGACGUUAUCCUUUCCCAAAUGCCAGUUUGUUCUGGUCAUUUGUGAAUUAGAUAUUAUCAAUAGAGAAACCAGACACCAGUCCUGUUUGUGAAACAGUAACAUAAACAUUCAACUGUUUUAUUACGGCUUAACAUGGGUUGCUGCAAUCAUUUGAAAUUGUAUCAAAAUCAGACAACAAAGAAUCGAU